GAUGAACGCUGGCGGCGUGCCUAAUACAUGCAAGUCGAGCGAACAGACGAGGAGCUUGCUCCUCUGACGUUAGCGGCGGACGGGUGAGUAACACGUGGAUAACCUACCUAUAAGACUGGGAUAACUUCGGGAAACCGGAGCUAAUACCGGAUAAUAUAUUGAACCGCAUGGUUCAAUAGUGAAAGACGGUUUUGCUGUCACUUAUAGAUGGAUCCGCGCCGCAUUAGCUAGUUGGUAAGGUAACGGCUUACCAAGGCAACGAUGCGUAGCCGACCUGAGAGGGUGAUCAGCCACACAGGAACUGAGAGACGGCCCAGACACCUACAGGAGGCAGCAGUAGGGAAUCUUCCGCAAUGGGCGAAAGCCUGACGGGGCAACGCCGCGUGAGAGAUGAAGGUCUUCGGAUCGUAAAAAGCUGUUAUUAGGGAAGAACAAAUGUGUAAGUAACUAUGCACGUCUUGACGGUACCUAAUCAGAAAGCCGCGGCAAACUACGU
rnacentral:rRNA from 1 species